CCUACGUGUGGCAGCAGUGAGGAAUAUUGGUCAAUGGCCGGAAGCCUGAACCAGCCAUGCCGCGUGAAGGUCAGUGCCCUAUGGGCGUUAAACUUCUUUUGUCCGGGAGCAAUAAUGUUCAGGUGUGGCCCUACGAGAUUACCGUUCGAAUCAGCAUCGGCUCACUCCGUGCCAGCAGCCGCGGUCAUACGGGGGAUGCAAGCGUUAUCCGGAUUUGUUGGGUUUAAGGGGUGCGUAGGCUGUGAGGUAAGUCAGCGGUGAAAUGCCCCCGCUCAACGGGGUGAAGUGCCAUUGAUACUGCCAGGCUGGAGUGCGGAUGCCGUGGGAGGAAUGUGUGGUGUAGCGGUGAAAUGCAUAGAGAUC
rnacentral:rRNA from 1 species